rnacentral:rRNA from 1 species
AAAUUGAAGAGUUUGAUCAUGGCUCAGAUUGAACGCUGGCGGCAGGCCUAACACAUGCAAGUCGAGCGGUAGCACAGGGGAGCUUGCUCUCUGGGUGACGAGCGGCGGACGGGUGAGUAAUGUCUGGGAAACUGCCUGAUGGAGGGGGAUAACUACUGGAAACGGUAGCUAAUACCGCAUAACGUCUUCGGACCAAAGAGGGGGACCUUCGGGCCUCUUGCCAUCGGAUGUGCCCAGAUGGGAUUAGCUAGUAGGUGAGGUAAUGGCUCACCUAGGCGACGAUCCCUAGCUGGUCUGAGAGGAUGACCAGCCACACUGGAACUGAGACACGGUCCAGACUCCUACGGGAGGCAGCAGUGGGGAAUAUUGCACAAUGGGCGCAAGCCUGAUGCAGCCAUGCCGCGUGUGUGAAGAAGGCCUUCGGGUUGUAAAGCACUUUCAGCGGGGAGGAAGGCGGUGAGAUUAAUACUCAUCGAUUGACGUUACCCGCAGAAGAAGCACCGGCUAACUCCGUGCCAGCAGCCGCGGUAAUACGGAGGGUGCAAGCGUUAAUCGGAAUGACUGGGCGUAAAGCGCACGCAGGCGGUCUGUUAAGUUGGAUGUGAAAUCCCCGGGCUUAACCUGGGAACUGCAUUCAAAACUGACAGGCUAGAGUCUUGUAGAGGGGGUAGAAUUCCAGGUGUAGCGGUGAAAUGCGUAGAGAUCUGGAGGAAUACCGGUGGCGAAGGCGGCCCCUGGACAAAGACUGACGCUCAGGUGCGAAAGCGUGGGGAGCAAACAGGAUUAGAUACCCUGGUAGUCCACGCUGUAAACGAUGUCGAUUUGGAGGUUGUGCCCUUGAGGCGUGGCUUCCGGAGCUAACGCGUUAAAUCGACCGCCUGGGGAGUACGGCCGCAAGGUUAAAACUCAAAUGAAUUGACGGGGCCCGCACAAGCGGUGGAGCAUGUGGUUUAAUUCGAUGCAACGCGAAGAACCUUACCUACUCUUGACAUCCAGAGAAUUUGCUAGAGAUAGCUUAGUGCCUUCGGGAACUCUGAGACAGGUGCUGCAUGGCUGUCGUCAGCUCGUGUUGUGAAAUGUUGGGUUAAGUCCCGCAACGAGCGCAACCCUUAUCCUUUGUUGCCAGCACGUAAUGGUGGGAACUCAAAGGAGACUGCCGGUGAUAAACCGGAGGAAGGUGGGGAUGACGUCAAGUCAUCAUGGCCCUACGAGUAGGGCUACACACGUGCUACAAUGGCGUAUACAAAGAGAAGCGACCUCGCGAGAGCAAGCGGACCUCAUAAAGUACGUCGUAGUCCGGAUUGAGUCUGCAACUCGACUCCAUGAAGUCGGAAUCGCUAGUAAUCGUAGAUCAGAAUGCUACGGUGAAUACGUUCCCGGGCCUUGUACACACCGCCCGUCACACCAUGGGAGUGGGUUGCAAAAGAAGUAGGUAGCUUAACCUUCGGGAGGGCGCUUACCACUUUGUGAUUCAUGACUGGGGUGAAGUCGUAACAAGGUAACCGUAGGGGAACCUGCGGUUGGAUCACCUCCUUACCAAGAAG